UCUCUGGGAUUGAGCCAAUGAUGGCUUGCUCAAUCGUGUUCUUUACCACAACCAUAUAUUUCUUGUUGGUUGAGGUCCACUCAGUUGUUCAUAGUUGAUAAAACAAAGUGGACCUUAGCCAACAAGAAGUGUAUGACUGUGGUAAAGAACACGAUUGAGCAAGCCAUCAUUGGCUCAAUCCUAGAGACU
rnacentral:pre_miRNA from 1 species